rnacentral:rRNA from 1 species
GACGAACGCUGGCGGCGUGCUUAACACAUGCAAGUCGAACGGAAAGGCCCUGCUUUUGUGGGGUGCUCGAGUGGCGAACGGGUGAGUAACACGUGAGUAACCUGCCCUUGACUGUGGGAUAACUUCAGGAAACUGGGGCUAAUACCGGAUAGGAGCUCCUGCUGCAUGGUGGGGGUUGGAAAGAUUCGGCGGUUGGGGAUGGACUCGCGGCUUAUCAGCUUGUUGGUGGGGUAGUGGCUUACCAAGCCUUUGACGGGUAGCCGGCCUGAGAGGGUGACCGGCCACAUUGGGACUGAGAUACGGCCCAGACUCCUACGGGAGGCAGAAGUCGGGAAUAUUGCACAAUGGGCGGAAGCCUGAUGCAGCAACGCCGCGUGCGGGAUGACGGCCUUCGGGUUGUAAACCGCUUUCGCCUGUGACGAAGCGUGAGUGACGGUAAUGGGUAAAGAAGCACCGGCUAACUACGUG